CAGGGGGCCGCCUUCGCCACCGGUAUUCCUCCAGAUCUCUACGCAUUUCACCGCUACACCUGGAAUUCUACCCCCCUCUACGAGACUCAAGCUUGCCAGUAUCAGAUGCAGUUCCCAGGUUGAGCCCGGGGAUUUCACAUCUGACUUAACAAACCGCCUGCGUGCGCUUUACGCCCAGUAAUUCCGAUUAACGCUUGCACCCUCCGUAUUACCGCGGCUGCUGGCACGGAGUUAGCCGGUGCUUCUUCUGCGGGUAACGUCAAUGAGCAAAGGUAUUAACUUUACUCCCUUCCUCCCCGCUGAAAGUACUUUACAACCCGAAGGCCUUCUUCAUACACGCGGCAUGGCUGCAUCAGGCUUGCGCCCAUUGUGCAAUAUUCCCCACUGCUGCCUCCCGUAGGAGUCUGGACCGUGUCUCAGUUCCAGUGUGGCUGGUCAUCCUCUCAGACCAGCUAGGGAUCGUCGCCUAGGUGAGCCGUUACCCCACCUACUAGCUAAUCCCAUCUGGGCACAUCCGAUGGCAAGAGGCCCGAAGGUCCCCCUCUUUGGUCUUGCGACGUUAUGCGGUAUUAGCUACCGUUUCCAGUAGUUAUCCCCCUCCAUCAGGCAGUUUCCCAGACAUUACUCACCCGUCCGCCACUCGUCAGCAAAGCAGCAAGCUGCUUCCUGUUACCGUUCGACUUGCAUGUGUUAGGCCUG
rnacentral:rRNA from 1 species